UCUUUUCCGAAAUAGAUGAAAGGUAUAGCCUGCCCGAUGCUUUUUUGUGAAUGGCCGCAGUAUACCUAACUGUGCUAAGGUAGCAUAAUUGCUUGUCAUUUUAUUGAUGUCUUGUCUGAAAGGUAUCCUGGAGUAGUAUUUUUUUCCUUUUUUUAGUGAAUUUUUAAUUCUUGUAAAAAUACAAGAGCUAAAAUAAAAGACGAGAAGACCCCGUAGAGCUUAAGAAUUUUUUGUGAUAUUCUUUAAAUGGGACGUUGGAUUUUUUUUCAAAGAUUUUUUGAACCUUAUUGGUAAAAAGGUAAAGUUACCUCGGGGAUAACAGGGUAAUUUUUCUUUAGAGUUCUUAUUGAGAGAAAGGUUUGCUACCUCGAUGUUGAAUCGGAGUUUAUCUUUGGUUGUAGAAGCUAGAGAAUUUGUGUCUGUUCGACACUUAAAACUUCACG
rnacentral:rRNA from 1 species